GCCUCCCUACGGGGGGCAGCAGCCGCGGUAAAACGUAGGGUGCAAGCGUUGUCCGGAAUUACUGGGUGUAAAGGGAGCGCAGGCGGAUCGACAAGUUGGGAGUGAAAACUACGGGCUCAACCCGUAACCUGCUUUCAAAACUGUCGGUCUUGAGUGGCGUAGAGGUAGGCGGAAUUCCCGGUGUAGCGGUGGAAUGCGUAGAUAUCGGGAGGAACACCAGUGGCGAAGGCGGCCUACUGGGCACUAACUGACGCUGAGGCUCGAAAGCAUGGGUAGCAAACAGGAUUAGAAACCCUAGUAGUCCA
rnacentral:rRNA from 1 species